CAGGUAGUCAAGAGCUUUAACAUCAUAACGAUGGGUCAAUGCGACAGCUGUUGUUGCAGGUGAAUUGAACAACGAUCCGUUCUUCCUCUGAUACUUCAUAACCUCAUUCCAGUCCUGCAAAUUCCCUAAUCCUUCGGAUACAUACGCCAUGUACGCUUUUCGUCCCUCGGAAUUGUUUGCAGAAUCCCUAAAAAAUCAAUAAUACCGAUCACAACAUAAAUGCCAUUUACAAAAAAAUGUGCAUCCUGAGUGAAAUUAAUGAUAUAAGAUUCUGUUAAAUAUAAAAAUGUUUAAAUACCGUUCUCUAAUAGCUUAAGUUCUUAGAGUAUAACGGUUGUUUCACAGAUUCAAACAAAAUUUACAUUGGAAUAACCAGGGAGCCUGACCUUUUCAAUUCUAAAUCUCGAAGGCAAAGAAUAUCCUGAAUAGCAUGCUGUCUUAUGGGAAUAUCUAAACCCAAAUCGAUUGCACGUUCAAGCAUGCCAGGGAAAAUGAUAUUGAAGCCGACAGGAGACUGAUAAUUCUCAUCCAUAAUACAUGACAAAUUAGAUCCAAUAUAAUGUAGCCCUGCAAUAAGUCGAAAAAAAAUGAAGCUUCUUAAUCCAUUGAGCAAAACACAAUGUUAAUGAGUAAAUGUUCUGUUUCCUAAUACCUCUUCUUACGUGCUCUUCACCGACAUUCCAUCGCUUGAGCGCGAGUACACUUGCCAAUGUGGAAGAUAGAGCAUCUUUAAUCAAAGAGGGAUGGAUAUGGUCAAGUCCCCAGGAUCCAUUAGAAUUUUGAUUUUGUAACAUCCAAUCGACGCACUGAGGGAAGCACGGAGUUUGAGGAGAUCCAGGAGAAGGGACCAUGGCAACCCAUGCCGUGUCAUAUGAAGAAACUGAAUAUUCGACCUUACUUAGCUGCUCCCUUAUUCGUUUCUCCGAUUCCCUGGAACACUACAGCCACGUCUAAUAAGAUGCUUAAUUCAACCACAAAUUUAUUGUAUGGAGAUUUCAAAAUAACAUGGGAUCAAUAAAUCUAAUACCGUUACUGAGAGGUUCGCGCUGCUUUCUUCUUUCCCAUCAUCCCAAUUUGCUGUAUAUGAAAACGAAGCAUUCGGCAAUCAGCAAAAGAGAAAUAAAUGUAACACCAGAGCAAGUGAAAUAUGCAAAUGUCUUUUCGUAAUUAUUCCAACCAACCUAAUUAGAAGUUGUCAUGAUAUAACUAGAUCUAACACAUGCUGCAAUUUGAAGAUAAUCUCAUAUUUGGCAUUUAACAUAUUCUCCUUAAAAAAAAAAUACACAACUUUAAGGUAUCGUUUGGUUCGGGGAUAAGCAAAAAAUGGCUAUUCCAGGGAUAGGUAUAAAUUGAGGUAUAAGCGGGGAUUAGAUCAAUUUUGCGUUUGGAUGAAAAUUGGGUAAUUGCUGUGAAUAAAAGAAAUAGCGUUUGGUUAGGUAAAAUAGAAUAAGAAGGAUAGUGGGUUUUAUAAAUAAAAAGUAAUGAUAUUAUCCUCUUAUUAUAUUUGAAUUUGAAUUUUUAAAAUUUUAAAUUUAUAUUUUUAAAUUUAAAAUUUUAAAUUUUAAAAUUUGAGAAAUUUGAAAUUUAAAAUAACAAUUUUAAAUUUUAAAUUUCAAACUUUAAAUUUAAGAUCAAAUUUAAAUUUGAAAAAUAUAAAAAUAAAUUUUAAAUUUCAAAAAUAAAAUAUCAAAAUUUCAAUAUUAAAAUUUAAAAUUUAAAUUUAAAAUUAUAAACUUUAAUUUGAGAUUAUAAAUUAUAAAUUUUAAAAUUUAAUUUUUUUUUUUAAAAUUUUAAAUAAGAAUAAGGGUGGGAACUUAAUUAAUAAAUAAUUUACUAUAAUAAAUUUAUAAAUUUUUUAAAAUUCUAAUCAAACUUAAUUUAUAAAGGAAUUAUUAUAAUUUUAUUAUAAUAUUUAAAUAUAAAUAAUAUGUAUUAAUAUAGUACAAUUAAUAAUUUUAUAAUAAAAAUAAUGUAUUAUAUAUAUAACAUAGUGAUAAUUGCCUAUAUACCCUUCAUGCGUUCGGAAAUAUCGAUCUACCCCUACUCUUUUUUUUCUUUCUAAAAUUGUCCUCAUACGUUCCACCGUUAUUCCAAAAUACCCCCGCAGUUUAUCCCCUGUUAGCUUAACUCGGGUUAAACAUGGGUUAAUACUAUAUAGAGUUAAAACCUGACAAAAUACUAUAUUUGCCCCUACUUUAUUAUAGUAAUCCCUAAAGAUGUAUCCUCUUUCUUCCCAAUUUUGUCGCCACCACGGCCGCGCUCCUCCGCCUCUACUCACCUCCUCGCCUCAUCUCCUCCCAAACCACCACACUCCCACACCUCCACUCCAACACACCCAUCUCGUCGUCUCGUUGUCCUCCUCCGCCGCCGCUCUCGUCGUCGCCGUCGUCCUCUUCCUCCGCCGCCUUGGCCGGCGCCGGGAGCAAGAGGGCCGCAGCGACGAUCCCAUCUCUCGCCGCUCUCGUCGUCCUUCUCCUCAUCCGCUGCCUUGGCCGGCGCCAGGAGCAAGAGGGCCGCAGCUCCAUCGGACCCCUGCACGCCUUCUGCUCCGGAUCCGGCUGAAGGGUAAAUAAGAAAAGUAUUUGCUAUAUGAAGGGUAUAUAAGAAAAGUUUGUUACGGUACAAGGGUAUAUUGGAAUGGGCAAAAUGGUAAUUUUUCAGAGCUAACGGCAGCUCACUAACGGAACUUAACUCUAGGGGUAUUUUAGAAAAACUUGGAACAUAAGAAGGGUAUUUUCAAUAUUAGCCUUCUAAGAGGGGUAAAUAAGAAAACGGAGAACUUUUCAGGGGUAUAUAGGCAAUUGCCCCUAUAACAUAUUAUAUUUAUAUAAUUUAGUUUGCUUAAUUUAUAAUUUUAAUUAAGUUUGAAAUUAAGCAUUGGAAUAGCACUAUUCCACCAAAAUGGUGGAAUAGCAUAUUCCUUGCUAUUCCGGAAUAACUGGGAAUAGCAAGAUUUGACCGGAAUAAAAUAUUCCGGCCAUAUUUCAUCCCGUUUGGUGGAAUAGCGGGGAUGUUAUCCCCGCUUAUCCUCCGAACCAAACGGGGCCUAAUUGUCUUAUUGAGACAAAUGUAAAUAAUAUAAUUUAAUGCCACAUUUACUUGUAUAAUAGCAACGGUUGAAUAUCAAUAUUAAAAGCACCAUAUUCUCUUACAGAAGUAUUUCAUAAUCACAACGAUGGAAAAGCAGUGUUAGUAUAUUUCAAAAAAACUAUACAUGAGAUGCAGAACAGAACGCAUCACAUAUCCUUUCAUACACAAAAAAAUUUAACUUAAAAAAUGGUUCUACCUGACGAAACUCGCGGAAGAGAUGCUCUAACUGUUUUUUUAGCUCUAACUCUAGAAAUUUGAAUAUCUGAAGAUCGGAUGCAGCACAGGGGAAAUGAGAGAGCAUUUAACGACAUGGCCACUCAGGUUUAUGUGAAAUUAAUGGUGAUCUGCGACGAGAUAGCAGCAAACUAAGAGGCAUCAAAAAAUGAUUAAGAAUUUUCGAGAAAAAUACUGCAGGAAAAAAGAAAGCAUAGCUAGAAGAAAGAAUCCAACCAAUUAAGUAAACGAAAAUUAAAGUAACUCAAUUAAGGAUAGACUAAUCAAAGUAAAUCAAACUAAUUAAUGCGUCGAUAAUAAAAGGUGACAAAAAUGUACAUGAACCCUCUCGUUGUCCAUUUUACUUGUCGUUAGCAUUCCUUCGGUUUUUACUUCUUAAUUUCCAUUGAAGUUUUUUCUGUAAACCGGUUGAUUCAAGUUUUGUAUAAUGUUUUAGAAAUAUUGUAUAUUUUAUUACUUUGUAUUUAAAAUGACAAAUUCGUAACUAACGUAUCAAGUCACUUGGUUACGUGUCAACGACCCGUAGAUAAUAGAGCUAUUAAUUUUUACAGAACCCCAAUAUAAAUAGAUAGAAUGAUUCAAAUAAAAAAAAAAAAUUAAAAGUUGAGAGGUUUCGAUAAUUAGAAAAGAAAAAGUAAAACUAAAAUUUGCAUGUUCUAAAAGCUCUAUACAUGCGUCCAUGGCCAAGGAGAGAGAGAGAGAGAGAGAGAGAGAGAGAGAGAGAGAGGUUGCGGCGCUACCUGUUUAAUUUGUGUUCACUACCAAAGAGUAAACGGAGUGGCGAAGAAGAGAGCCUGAGGGGUAAAUAAAACAAGGUGGGGUGUGUAUAUAUACAGUGUACUAUCAGUAGCACGGAGCGCUCCGUUAUGUUCGCUUAAAUGGGCCAGCAUCCUGCCUUGUGGCAGGAGGUCAUGUGGGCCCGAGUCAUGUUCGAAAUGGCAUGAGGCUAGGUGGGCCGAGUCAUGUUCGAAGUGGCGUGAGGCUAGGUGGGCCGAGUCACAAUCGAGACCCGUGGGCGCUGUUUCUGUACGCUUUAAGUGAAUUGGUUGCGUAUUUCUAACAGCUCGAGCUUUUGGGAUUAAUGGUUAGCGUCAACAAUCCGACAAGUUGUAUCAGAGCCAGAGCUCACAGAUUUAAUUCCUGCAUGCUGCAAAUGUGCGCAGGUGCUGGAGGGGGGAUUGUUGGCUUAAAUGGGCCAGCAUCCUACCCUGUGGCAGGAGGCCAUAUGGGCCGAGUCAUGUUCGAAAUCGCGUGAGGCUGGGUUGGGCCGAGUCAUGUUCGAAGUGGCGUGAGGCCAGGUGGGCCGAGUCACAAUCGAGACCCGUGGGCGCUGUUUCUGUACGCUUUAAGUGAAUUGGUUGCGUAUUUCUAACAGCUCGAGUUUUUGGGAUUAAUGGUUAGCGUCAACAAUCCGACAAGUUGUAUCAGAGCCAGAGCUCACAGAUUUAAUUCCUGCAUGCUGCAAAUGUGCGCAGGUGCUGGAGGGGGGAUUGUUGGCUUAAAUGGGCCAGCAUCCUACCCUGUGGCAGGAGGCCAUAUGGGCCGAGUCAUGUUCGAAAUGGCGUGAGGCUGGGUUGGGCCGAGCCAUGCUCAAAGUGGCGUAAGGCCAGGUGGGCUGAGUCACAAUCGAGAUCCGUGGGCACUGUUUCUGUACGCUUUAAGUGAAUUGGUUGCGUAUUUCUAACAGCUCGAGUUUUUGGGAUUAAUGGUUAGCGUCAACAAUCCGACAAGUUGUAUCAGAGCCAGAGCUCACAGAUUUAAUUCCUGCAUGCUGCAAAUGUGCGCAGGUGCUGGAGGGGGGAUUGUUGGCUUAAAUGGGCCAGCAUCCUACCCUGUGGCGGGAGGCCAUAUGGGCCGAGUCAUGUUCGAAAUCGCGUGAGGCUGGAUUGGGCCGAGUCAUGUUCGAAGUGGCGUGAGGCCAGGUGGGCCGAGUUACAAUCGAGACCCGUGGGCACUGUUUCUGUACGCUUUAAGUGAAUUGGUUGCGUAUUUCUAACAACUCGAGCUUUUGGGAUUAAUGGUUCGCGCCAACGAUCCGACACGUUAUACUUGAUCUAUACUAUUAAAAGUAUUUAGAAACUAAAUAAUUUUUCGAUACCAUUUGAAAUACCUAUCAAACAAGUAGUCUAAAAUUGAACGGCUGAAAAUAAAAAUCUCAUAAAAAAUGAUGAUAAAAGAUUUAAAUUCAAGAUCAGAUAUACUGAUCUUACUCUAAAUAGUGAAAAGAAUUUUUCAUAAAAUUUUCAUCAGAUUUGAAUUGUUUUACACCGUUAAACUCUCAAACACACCACAUCGGCCAUUAAAAUUGUCAAUUUUGUGAUCUUUUGAUCACUAGUCAAAUGAUGUCGAAAAAAAUCUGAAAUUUAGUUUUCAAAUACUUUCAAUAGUGUAGAUCAGGUUUAACGUAAUCGAUCGUCGAUUUGAAAGUCGCAUCAUCAAAAACAACUUGGUAGUACGGAGCGCUCCGUGCUACCGACAGUGUAGUAGCCGGACUUAUAUAUAUAUAUUAUUAUUAUUAUUAUUAUUAUGUAUAUAAUGAUGGGAUUGGAUUUGACUUCGACUUUGCCUUUAGAAAGAGAUUUAGUGAGUAUCCAAGUAGAAUUGGAUUUAGUCUAAAAAAUAAAAAAAUUCGAUGAAAAAAAUAAGAAUUUUUUUAAAAAAACGGUGCGAUGAAAAAGAAAAGUUUUUUUGUUUUACCCGCUACUAUUUAUGUAAUUUAUUAUCUUUUUUUUAUUUUUAUUAUUUUGUUUUGUGCAUUCUCUUGUCUACCUUCCACUAUUGUGAGUCCACACCACGUGCACUCACAUAUUUUUAGGGUUAAUUACAUAUAGUUUUUAAUAAAUUAUCGAAUAUAUUACUACAAAAUUUAAUUUUUUAUAUUUAUUCUUGUAAAAAUUCGGUGAUAUUUAUAUUCCCAUCUGGUUUGUUACCGUUAGAGAUUGUUUAUUUUUUAAUAGCAGAUAGGUGAAAUAAUAUUUUUGCUCUUACAAAUAUAUUUUUUCAAAAGCCCAAGUAUUAAAAUUAUGCAGAAAUAUCCUUUCAAAAAAAUAUUUUACUUAAUAAUAUAAGAUGAGUAAAAAAAUCAAUUUAACUCAUUCACUAAUCAGAGUUAAGUAUUUCACUUAUGGUUAAUUAUAUUUUUCCCACGGAUUCUAGCAGUAGAGAUAUAUUUAAAAAUAGUAGUACUUUUGCAGAAAUAAAAAUAAAAUGUUAAACUUUGUAGAAAUAUAUUGCUAUUCAAUAUGUUCACAUAAAAUUAUAUGGAAUUAACCUUGUUUUUUAUUAGCCCUACUUUGACAUCAGCUCGCCCCAAAGUCCCUAGAAGUUAAAAGUCUAUUUGUUUGGGUAAAAAUGGAGAGGGGUGAAAUCGUUUUCCACUAUAAGCAAUCACUUUCGCUGUUUGUUUCGUCGUAAUAAAGAUACGAUCGAAACUCAAGUUGUCCGUAACAGACCGAAGUCAAUUACGGUGAGAAAAGAUGAACAGAAAAAUAAUAAAAUAAUACAAUGAAUAAUGCUAGUUAUAUUUAAAUAUAUUUAAUUAUGAGACUAAUUAUUUUUUUAUUUAGUUUGUAUAUUUAAAAUAUGAUAAAAUUUGAUUAGUUAAGUUUUAAUAUUUUCUUCAUUUAGUUUGUAAUUUAAAAUAUGAUGAGAAUUUAUUAGAUAAGUAUUUAUAUACUAUUUUACUUUAUUCUAUUGUUAUAUUAUUAUUAUAAUUUAUGUAUAAAAAGUAAUUUAGUUGUUUUAAAUUAAAUUUUUUAAUUAUAUAGAAAUAUAAUUAUAUUGUUUUAUUUAUUAUAUUAUAAUUUAUUAUUUAUUAAGUUAUUUAUUAUUUAUACAUAAAUUAUAAUUUUAGAUCACUCACUUUUUGUCAAACAUACAGCAGAACUAAAAAAAACUUACUUUCAUAACUAUGAAACAGCAGGAGAUAAGUAGUUUUUACCGAACUCCACUUCAAUCCAAAAUCUACUUCAGCCCAAAUUCUAAUUUCAGUGAAACAAACAUACCCUAGUGUAUUUAAGGUUGCAAUUGGUGGAACCCAAAGUGGACAAUGGAAAGUUGGGAUUUAUGAAUUAUUAUAGGGCUUUUUUUGCUUUUAACCAUCUCAGAAAAAAAAAAAUUUCCACAAAUAACCUCAUAAAAAUUAUAUUUACAAGAUUAACCUUAUCCUCGCCACACGAGCGCGACGUGUGUUAGGUUGGUUAAGUUGAACACAGUAAAUCAUUCAUCGUGUUUGGACACGACGAAUGAUUCAUCGUAUCUUUUUCACAUUUUACUUAUACCGUGUUCUUUUCACAUUCACCAUUUUUAUUGUAUUAUAAAUUAAAUUGAACACAGUAAAUCAUUCAUCGUGUUUGGAUAUAGUGAAUGGUCCGUCGUGUUCAACUUAAAUUCUGGAUUGUUAGUCACGCUCAUGUGUUGCUUGCGUGGUAGGGAUAAGGCCAAUUGUGCAAAUAUAAAUUUUAUGAUGCUAUUUACGAAAUUUUUUUGAGAGGCUAAAAGCAAAAAAAAAAAGGCCCAUUAUUAUAUUAUUUAUUUGAUGACUUUUUAACCCUUAUUAAAUGUAGUGGUGCUAGAUCUAUGCUGUGUACAAGUAGCGUUUUUCUUUCCCAAGUCCCUAGCUCCGAGAUCUAAACAUAAUCUUUUUCAUUUUAACUGGAGACUUUUGGACAUGAAAAAUACUAGGUAUUACUUACAAUAUUAUUUAAGUAAAAUCAUACACAACAUACUUGAACAUCGGACAAUUUUAAUUUAGCUAUCUAAUUUUUUAAAAUUUUAAUUUUAUUAUUCAAUCUUUCGAUUUGUUUGAUUUGGGCUAGGCAACAACACUUUAAUUUUAGAAUAUGAUUGUGUUAUUUAUCUUUACAAUUUUAGUUAGUAUCCUUCAAACAAUUCUCGCAACUAUAAAUUCGAUAAAUUAAGUUAUUAGCUUAAAUUUUGAAGUAAAAAAUAUCAUUGGCCAGUUCAAAUCAAACAAAUUAAAAUGUUGGAUAGUAAAAUCAAAAUUUCGAAAUGUUGAACAACCGAUUCAAAAUAGUUUAUAAUUCAGAUAUAUUCUAUACGUUUUUACCUAUUAUUUAUUGUAAAUUUCUUGUAAUAUUUUUAAACUGCUUGUCGCCAUGCUUGAGCAAAUCAAAAUUUCAUACACCCAACGGAAUCCCAGCCUUGAUUUGUAGCUGGUAGGAAAGCAGCCAAAUCCGUCCCUCAAUUGCAUCUCCCAGUACUUACUUUUUGAAAGAAAAAUAGCAUGCUAUCUAUAACGUCCCAACUUUUCAAGGAGCUAUUCAUUCUAGAACUAUUCUAGUCCUAACACGCUUAAUUUUUUUAAUCUCUUAGGCUUAUCCACCGUACAAAAUGUUAUAGUCGGGUCAAGAGUUUUAGUUUUAUUAUAUCUUAUAUAUAGAACUAUCUGAGAUUUUAUACUAUUUGUUUCGUGUUUUUUAAGAAACAAAUUUAGUUGAAAAUAUGAAUUAGCUAGGCUUCGAACUUUGAAUCUCGGAUACCCCAUCAUCAAGCCCUUUGCCUUUUGUACUAGGCACGGUCGGCCAUCUUACAGUGCUUGACCUGACAGUUGUAAAGAAGAACUCCUAUAAAUAUGUAAACCAAAGUGUAGCUUCCCCAGUACAUUAGAAAAAUGUAAGAGAAAUAAUAUUUGUACAUCCCAAAAAACAGUACAGACAUAAACAUUUCUCAUUCUUAAAUUCAUAAAACCUUUUGAAUUUUUGAUAUUAAAAAAAAAAGUCAAAAUAUAAUGUGAAACAGCUACAGUAUAAAUCAGUUACUGUCGAAAGGUUGCAUUGAGUACCCAAAAGUCUAAAAUCAUCUUCUACGGUGUCUGUUGAAGGUCCUUAAUUUCUUUGGAAUCCUUGUCUUCAUUUCUAUUAAUGUUUAUUUUGAAAAUAUGAUUGAAACCUUUUUUUUCUAAGAAAUUUUUUCAUGGUACAAAAUUUGCCACAUAGCUAGAUUAUCUAAUUCAAAGGUUUAAAUUUUACAUGCAUCCCAAUCAGGCGUGUCCUCCGCGCUAUUUCUUUUUCGUAGAAGUAUUGUUACUGCUAUCAAUCCAAGUCAAACUGCUGGUACCGGUCAAUGCAUCCUACUAUUUGUAAGUACAUAAUUUUUUUUUUUUUUUGAGAAUCGGUAGCACGCUACCUACUUCAUUCAUUGAAUAAGUGAAUUAGGCUACAGAGGUGGGGCAACCAGGGCCCCAAAUAGAGAAAAAAAAAAAAAUCAUAGAUUGUCUUUCCAAGAAUCAAUCAAGUACUUGAGCCUACGCGCCGCUAAUAUGGGGUCAAACUGAAUGUCAUGAAAGAUAAAGUUGUUCCUCGCCUUCCAAAUGGUCCACCAGCAUGCGGCCAAUUCAGAUAGACCGUCCCUUCUACUUUGUAAGUACAUAAAUUAUAGAUAAUUUUUCAUGGUGCAACCUUGUAGAGGUGAGCAAAUCAACCAUAAAUGGUGUGUUCAUAACAUCAGAGUGGGUAGCAUGCUAUCUUUUUCUCACAAAAAAAAAAAAAAAAAAAAAAAAAAGGAAAAAAAAAAAAAAAAAACAUCAGAGUGGUGCUUUUGUUUGAAACUAGAGUUCCGCUCAAAUGAAAGAUCUCCAACAAAAAGAAAUUUUGAAACUAUAUUUUAACAGUUCAUUGUUUUCUUAAACAUACCUAAAUCGAUCGUGAUCUGAAUGGUGAAAGAGCACGCAAAGUUUUUCAUAAUUUGCGUGCAACAACCGCUGGUUAAUUUACGAGAUUGGCUAAAUAAGGUGAGAAUGAAAUUGUUUUAUUAGAGUCGCUUAAUUUAAUACUGCUUUUUAAUUUCUCCUAGCAUAAUUUUUUUGGGGAUGGAUUACGCCCAAGACAUAGAAUAAUUAUUCAAUGAGAGGAAAUUAAAUAAAGGUAGGAGCUCUACCAAGACCCAAGCUUAAAAUUUCAUGCUCUGAUAUAAAAGUGAGGCUGGUAUGCUUAUGGAGGCACACGGAGCCUUCCGUGCUUUCAAGUCGUUUUCGAUGUUAGGACUUUCGAAUCAACAAUCGGCUCUAUUAGACUUAAUCUAUAGUAUUUGAAAUAUUUAGAAAAAUAAAUUUCACAAUUUCUUGAUAUUAUUUACCUAGUAAUCGAAAGAGUUCAAAAUCAAUGGCUGAAAAUAAAAAUAUUACAAAAUAUGAUGAUAUGACAUUAACAUUUUAGAUUAAAGAUAAUGAUAUUAUUUUAUAUAGUAUGAAGAAUUUUUUAUCAAAAUUUUGCGUGAUUUGAAUAUUUUUACACAGUUAAACUUGCAAACGGCUCACCGCGAUUAUUAAAAUUAUUGAUUUUUGACCCCUUCGAUCACUAUGCAAAUGAUAUUGAAAAAUUAUGAAUUUAUUUUCUAGCUACUUCAAAUACUUUAGAUGAGGCCUAACGGAGCUGAUCGUCAAUUUGAAUGUCCCAACAUCGAAAAUGACUUGGAAACACGAAGCUCCGUGCUUCCGGACGUAUACCGGCCUCACUCCAGAUAUAAUAUCAAAAAUAUAUAAAAUAAUUAUUUUUUCUAAAAAUUUAAUAUAUUAAAAAGUGAUAUCUUCUGUUUUUUUUUUAUAUUCAAAAGAUAUUAGGAAAACAGUCGUAGAGGGACAAAGGUGCAUGUUAUUUAAUUAAGCAGUCAACCUACUUAAUUAUGCUUCGAUUUUCUAAGGGGUGUAUUUUUUAUUUUUUUAUUUUUUUUGAGAGAUAGAUAGCACGCUAUCCGCUUAUUUUAUUUUAGAAAGAAAUUUAACUGAAAAUAUGAAUCAACUAGGAUUCGAACUUGGGUCUCGGGUACCAACCACCAAGCCCUUUACCACUUGUUCUAUGAACGGUCGGUCUAAGGGGUGUAUAUUAAUUGUUUGGUGCAUUACUAUAUGCAUUUUAAUAUUUUCCAAACCUAACUUUUCUUAUCCACCUGCCAAAUUGGAGCUUGAUUACAUGCUAGAUAUUAUGAAUGUAUCAUCAAGCAUCAAAUUAUGAGCUUUACUUUAAAAAAGCUCCACAUCUCAUUACUGGGUUGCAGAGGAUAUAUAUAUAUAUAGUCCAGUUGGAAUAAUGACACUAUAUUACUGGAGCCCGAUAAUAUAGAUAGUAUAGAAGUCAUAAUAAUAUAUACUCUAUUUUAUAAAUAUAAGUAAGAACAUAUCAAUCGUACCUGCAGCAAAGUGCGGAUGAAUUGCUAGUUCGAUUCUAAACAACAAAAUAUACAUUCAUUCAGUUCCUGUUAGGAACAACAAAUAUACAUGGAUUCAGGUUCAAGUUAGGAAUUUGUAUUUGUAUUUUCGCCGGGAAUAGCUGACAAAAGAUGGCUGAUUUUGAGUGGUUCAUGAAUAACUGCGUUUACAGCACUCACCAUUUCCUUUGCAGAUGUAAAUCCAUCAGUGUUCAUGUAGAAUAGGUGAAGUAUUCUGCACAUCUUCCAAAAUAAGUCCUUGCAACUUCGAGGAAUUACAGAUCCCUCCUUCAGCACCAGCCUUAGCAAUUCUCUCCGAGAAGUUUCGACAGAUCUCUUGAGCUCCCUUUGAGCCUCUUCUACAGAGAUGGAAGAGUCGCUAUGAACAACGCGGAGCGAGAUGCUGUUCAACUUUCCUUCUUUACAUUCUCUCUGCACCAAUUUAAAGUAAUUAGUGUCCAAAUGAUAAUGAUCAAAGACCACGAUGAGCUUGAAGAGAAUGUGGGGGAACAAAAUUAAGGCUUUACAAGGACAGGAAUUCGCCUCGUCCAAUCUAUUUGUGCUACUAAAUAUUGCACUUCCUCCAAUCUAUUUCUGCUACUAAAUUUUGCACUUACUGCUUGUAUUACCUCGUAACCUUGCACGUCGUUUAGAAGACGGCCGCAUGUGCUCACAAGUCUGAACAAUUCAUGGUACUCUGGAUCUGCGAUCGCCUCUUCGGAGAGCUUUGGACCAACAAUGUAGAGUAACGAGAGAACGGUAGGGCCCAAAGCAAGGGAAAAAAUUCCAUUUUCCAUGUACUGCUCCGUCGUGGGUACCGUUUUCUUCCUCAGCCACUCUGCUUCGUUCAUCAUGGACCUCAUCAUACUAAGCCACUGUUGUUAAUUUGCAUUGCUAUGUGUCAAAAUCUUUUUAGAAUAAAUUGUUCGGUUUUCAUAUAAUCUAAUUCAUGGGGGAAGUUGGUUUUCUGUUUACAAAAGGAUUUUCUGAAGAGAAGCAUCUUUGCGAGUGUUGUAUAUGUAAGAAGUCGUGUUUUGGAAUGGUGUUUUCGUAUUUUGCAGGAAUGUGUAGGCGAUUUUGCAGUGGUAUAUAUGUAAAUGUCUGAAUUCAGUAAGCUGUUAGAUCUCACUAUUUCUACUAGAUGGCCGGUGACGCUACGAUUUUGUACUGCUGAUGCCUUAGCUCCAAGCUCGUUGAUUGUGCUGUGAAGCGCAGAAAAUAUAAUCUCCACGUGCUCAGAGCAAAACUCUUUUUCGUGAUUUCCAUCCCAUCUGUCACAAGUACAAACGUGCUUAAAGAAAAUAAUGUUGUAAAAUAAUCUCAGAAAAAUUGCGGAUCACAAAUAUAAGCAAGGACGAUCGUACUUCUCAACUAAACUGAUGAGGUUUUUUAAUUCUUCGAUUGAUCCACCUACGUCGAAGAAGUCGUCAACCACAGUGGUGAGCAGACUAUUUUUGGCCCAUAAAAUGCGACCAUCGGUUAAUUCGGGAGAACAUAGAGUAGCAGCAGCAGAGAGGUAACAGUAUGUUAUUUUAUCCCGAGCAAAUCCUAGCUGAUCCAACCGGUUUUCUCUGACCCAGCUGUUAAAAUCACAAAUUUAGAUUAGGAAAGCACAAUGCUGGCGUUAAAUGUAAUAAAAAUAAGGAACUUGCUUUUGCAUGUGCAGUCAACAAAAGCAUAUUUCUGAUAGUGGAAGGGCGUAUAGACACAUAUUGGAUAUUCAAAGGACAUUGGCAACAAUUUCAACUUAAGAAGGGUCUGCGAGCAAACGAGUAUAUUUUGAGAGAUAUUUAUGCAACAAAAUAACCUUAAAAGGAGAAUCCAUAAGAUGGACAGACCUCUGAAGAUGUUGAAGUUCUUUCCGGUAUAUAGACUGACAGCUACUGAAAUCUUCAACAGCCAAUUUAAGAAGAUCAUCAGAAGUCCAGAAAGACCUGAUUCAGUUCAGAAGCAGAAAUUACUGGCAGAAAUCCAAAAAUCAGAAAAAAAACGUUUUUAUCCUAUUUAUGAUUAAAUUCUUACUUAUAUGAUGUUUUGAGAAUCUGAUAAUUGGCAACAUCGAAGUGCUCAAUGUUUCUCUUGUGUUCUAAGCGUUCCAAAUUGGCGUAAAAGGGAAAUUUAAGAACAUAAUCUGCCUGAAAAUAUAAAAUAGAAUUAGUUUCAACUCUCAAUCAGACAACUAGAAUUUUUUUCCCCCAAAAAAACAUAUUAAGACUAUCAAAUACCUACCUCUUGGGAGAUAACUCGGGAAGAAUGUUUUGAAUUAGAAGAUACUUCCUCUUUUAGGAAACUACUGGACCAGGAACCCAGUUUAUCUAAGACUUGUUCACAGUCCAGGAUUUUAAUCUGUGAUGCCUUGUGAAAUUCUAGAACAGUUUUCAUAUCUUUCAGAUAUCCUUGCAUGGAAUUAUGGAAAUUGUGUGCUUCAGCAUAGUGAGAUAGCCUAUCUGCACCAUCGUCAGCAAUAGAUUAAAAACUCAUCGGCGUAAAAUACAUGUGUAGAUAACCAAGAUUCCGAAAGCUAGUUCCAUCUGGGCCCAAACUACCUGAGGAAACAUCAUAUCCGUUCAUACGCAAAAGACAAAAUGCCAUAGCACAUGCAGCCAUAUCCAAACUAAGUUCCUCAUCGUUCUCCAACCAGCAUCUGCAUAUUAGAUGGCGACAGCGGGUAAAAAUCUUGAGAUACUGCACAUAUCUCAACUUAAGGAUAUUUUUGUAAGGAACUCCACUCUAAAUGGGGUGUAUGAAAAUUAAGAUUAUAACAAGGGGUACGUAUGUGUAAAAAGAUCAUUUUGCAGAAAUACCUCUAUAUAUAUUUCUAAAACUGCAAUUCAUAUUUAGAAGCUAUUUCUAGCGUAAUACCUGUAUAUUCUGUCCAAGAUGGUCUUUAUCUCAUAAGCAAACAGCCGAGAAAUUCCCAACUUUUCAAGAGUGUCGACCAUGCAAAGCUGCGUAUGCAUCUCAAACGGAUAAACGGUAGGAACUGCAGAAAGGAAAAUGAUAUUAGAAAUACCGUAGCAUUUCCACAUAUGCGACGGACAAAAUUUAUCGAUUAGAGAGUAGACUCGAAUCCACCUGAACUGCCAAACCGCCGUAAAAUAGCAUGCAGGUAGUCAAGAGCUUUAACAUCAUAACGAUGGGUCAAUGCAACAGCUGUUGUUGCAGGUGAAUUGAACAACGAUCCGUUCUUCCUCUGAUACUUCAUAACCUCAUUCCAGUCCUGCAAAUUCCCUAAUCCUUCGGAUACAUACGCCAUGUACGCUUUUCGUCCCUCGGAAUUGUUUGCAGAAUCCCUAAAAAAUCAAUAAUACCGAUCACAACAUAAAUGCCAUUUACAAAAAAAUGUGCAUCCUGAGUGAAAUUAAUGAUAUAAGAUUCUGUUAAAUAUAAAAAUGUUUAAAUACCGUUCUCUAAUAGCUUAAGUUCUUAGAGUAUAACGGUUGUUUCACAGAUUCAAACAAAAUUUACAUUGGAAUAACCAGGGAGCCUGACCUUUUCAAUUCUAAAUCUCGAAGGCAAAGAAUAUCCUGAAUAGCAUGCUGUCUUAUGGGAAUAUCUAAACCCAAAUCGAUUGCACGUUCAAGCAUGCCAGGGAAAAUGAUAUUGAAGCCAACAGGAGACUGAUAAUUCUCAUCCUUAAUACAUGACAAAUUAGAUCCAAUAUAACGUAGCCCUGCAAUUAGCCCAACAAAAAAAUGAAGCUUCUUAAUCCAUUGAGCAAAACGCAAUGUUAAUGAGUAAAUGUUCUGUUUCUUAUUACCUCGUCUUACAUGCUCUUCACCCACAUUCCAACGCUUGAGCGCGAGUACACAUGCCAAUGUGGAAGAUAGAGCAUCUUUCAUCAAAGAGGGAUGAAUAUGGUCAAGUCCCCAGGAUCCAUUAGAAUUUUGAUUUUGUAACAUCCAAUCGACGCACUGAGGGAAGCACGGAGUUUGAGGAGAUCCAGGAGAAGGGACCAUGGCUACCCAUGCCGUGUCAUACGAAGAAACUGAAUAUUCGACCUUACUUAGCUGCUCCCUUAUUCGUUUCUCCGAUUCCCUGGAACACUACAGCCACGUCUAAUAAGAUGCUUAAUUCGACCACAAUUUUAUCGUAUGGUUGUGUCGAAAUAACAUGGGAUCAAUAAAUCCAAUACCAUUACUGAAAGGUUCGCACUGUUUGCUACUUUCGCAUCAUCCAAAUUUGCUGUAUACAAAAACGAAGCAGUCGGCACUCCGCAAAAGAGAAAUAAAUGUAACACUAGAGCAAGUGAAAUAUGCAAAUGUCUUUUCAUGAUAAUCCCAACCAACCUAGUUAGAAGUUGUCGUGAUAUAACUAGAUCUAAUACAUGCUGCAAUUUGAAGAUAGUCCCAUAUUUGGCAUUUAACAUAUUCUUCUUAAAAAAAACAAUACACAUAACUUUAAUUGUCUUAUUGAGACAUAUGUAACCCCAAAUUUUCACAAAUGUUACAAGUAAGAAUCUUAGGGUGAUGGAGUGUUGGGGAAAGAACGGGUGGAAGUGGAGCAAAAUCCUGUCUGGUUUUUUGCCUACCUCUCAACAGGACAGACAACUAAUCCUGAAACUUAAAGAGUCGAUCGUCGAGACCCUGGUUCUUAAUGGAAAGGACGGAGUUAGGUGGAGAUGGGAUCGAUCCGACAUGUUCUCUAUGAAAUCCAUGUAUAAUUUUUUUCAGGACGGCGAAAUACAUGUCAGGCACUUUAACCACCUUUGGAGGAGUUGCUCCCCUCUGAAAGUUAAGAUUUUUGUGUGGCUAGCCUUAAAAAGAAAAGUAUCCAUAGUAAAUAACCUCUUAAAAAGGGGGUGGAGUGGUGAAGAAAGUUUUGUCUUUUUGUCACGUCCCAAUAGUCUCACAUCGGAUGGGGAUUCUAAUUUCGAUCGGUAUAUAUGAGACCUCGCACGCUAGUAAUAAUAACUAGACUUAAGCAUUUUGAGCUGAUGGAUUGAGCCCAACGAGUUAUUGUUGCUAGCGGGUCGGGUCGUUGCAAUUGGUAUCAGAGCCGAAUACCAGCCAGAAGUGUGAGAGCUAAGUGUUAUGCUGGACAAAGUGCUACACAAACGAAUUUGGUGGGAGCCACCUCUUGAACCCGUAGGAGCCACCUCUAGCCAAAGUACUAAAGCCCGGCCCACGACUUUGCUCCCAAAUAAACAGUACCUCCCUUACUGUUCGUCUAUCUGCCGGCUAUGGCACGAAAGCAGCCUUAAAGGCGGUGUGCUAGGAAGGAGGGAGGUGACGAUGGUUAUCACCACAUGGUAGGUCGCCUGGCUGGAAAGAAAUUGCCGUAUUUCGGUUUUUUUUUUCAGAGAGCAAUACGACAAUUUUUUUUUUUUUCGGACUCAGGUUGUCUCAUUAUAUAGCUGAGUUCACUCUCUAAAUGAAUGAAGUGCUAGCAUGUUAUUUUUUCUCAAAAAAAAAUGUAAAUAAUAUAAUUUAAUGCCACAUUUACUUGUAUAAUAGCAACAAUUGAAUAUCAAUAUUAAAAGCAUCAUACUCUCUUACACAAGUAUUUCGUAAUCACAACGAUAGGAAAGCUAAGUUAGCAUAUUUCAAGAAAACUAUACAUGAGAUGUAGAAUAGAACGCAUCACAUUUCCUUUCAUACACAAAAAAAUUUAACUUAAAAAAUUGUUCUACCUGACGAAACUCGCGGAAGAGAUGCUCGAACUGUUUUUUUAGCUCUAACUCUAGAAAUUUGAAUAUCCGUAGAUUGGAUGCAGCACAGGGGAAAUGAGAGAGCAUUUAACGACAUGGCCACUCAGGUUUAUGUGAAAUGGCGAUCUAGGAUGAGAUAGCAGCAAACUAAGAGGCAUCAAAUUAUGAUUAAGAAUUUUCGAGAAAAAUACUGCAAGGGAAAAGAAAGCAUAGCAGAAGAAAGAAUCUAACCAAUUAAGUAGAUAGAAUUUAAAAUAACUCAAUUAAGGAUAGAACAAUCAAAGUAAAUCAAACUAAUGCAUCGUUAUAAAAGGUGGCGAAACGGACUGUCCCUAGCGCAAGUUGCAAAAGGCUCGGUGGUUGAUACCCGAGGUCCCAAAUUCGAAUUAUAGUUAAUUCACAUUUCCAGCUAAAUUUAUUUCUAAAUAAUAUAAACAAAGCAAAUAACAUGCUACUUGUCUCUUUAAAAAAAAAAAAAAAGGAAAAAAUGUACAUGAACCCUCUCGUUGUCCAUUUUACUUUUCGUUGGCAUUCCUUUGGUUUUUACUUUUUUUUCAUUUAGCGUGUGUUUGGUUCCACGUAAAAUUGUAAAAAGAAAAUUUGGUGGAAAAUAAUUUCGGUGAAAAAAAAUUUUACGUCGUUUAAUGUUUGAUUUGUAGGAAAAAAAAAUAGUUUUUCAUGACGGUUGUUUAUUUUUAAAAAAAAUUAUAAAUAAAAAAUUAUUAAUAUAUAUAUUUUUAUUUUAUAUUAUUAAUAUAUAAUUAUUAUCAUAUUACAUAUAGUAGUAUUAUAGUUUAUAUUUAUAAAUAAAAUAUAUUUAAAAUAUAUUAUGCAAUAAUUAAGUAUGUAAUAUAAUAUAUAAUAGUAUAUAUUUAAUACUAUAAAAUAACAUUAAUAGAAUUUUAUAAAUAAAAUAUUUUAUUAAUAAAAUUAUUUAUAUUAAAAAUAAAUACCAUCUUUAUAUAUAUAUAUAUAUAUAUAUAUAUAUAUAUAUAUAUAUAAUAUAAAAAAAAGAUGGGGGAGUUAGAGAGAUCGACGGUCGACCUCUCUCUCGCAGUCCACAAGGUGGGGCAUGCUUCUGGACCGCGCGCCAGGAAUGCAAAACAGGCCGGGCGGCCCGUGGGGCGGCGGCCCGGUACGACUGCAGGCCGGCCUAAACACGUCACCGAUACUGUAGAUUUCGUGCCUGACCGGCCGACCAGGUAUCAUGGGCUGUUUUAGGCCGGUAGAACUGAUCCGUAGGCCGGCAAGGCACGGCCUGUUACAGGUAUGGGGCGUGCCGGGCCGAUGGUUUAGCGUGCGGCCCGGCACGGCAUGGCCCGUAUGGGCCGUGCCUGCCGGCCAGCACGGCCCGACCCCGGGGCUCGUGGGGAGUUGGGAGCCUCCCACUCCCGAGCCGCGAACACUGGGACUUGGGGAGCCAGGUUGGCUCCCCAAGUCCCAAUGAGCCUACGGCCCUAGGCCCUUUUGGGAGAUGGGCCCUAGGCUCUUCUUGGGAGGAAAAAUUUUUAAAUUAAAAUUUCAAACUUUUAUUUAAAAAUUUAGUAUUUUAUAAAUAUUUUAAUAAAUUUUGUUUCUUAGCCCACAUAUAAGCAAAAAGAGGCUUAUUUUAUUUUUUAAAUUUUAAAUAUUUUAUAUAUUUAAAAAGUUAAAAAUAUUAAAGGGCCGGCCCGGAGCCCGUUCCGGCCCGGCACGGCCCGAGCCAUCCGGGCUGGAGGGCUGUGCUGGGCCGGUCAUCCAUAUAAUCUGGCCCAGCAUGACACGGCCCGGCUUCUAACCGGGCCCGGCCGGGCCAACUCCUGGCCUGAUUUGGCCCGGGUGAAUGUGGCCCGUGCCGGGCCGACACGGCCCACAUUACACCCCUACUCCCUCCCAAUGCCACAAUUUUUGGGUGUUGGUUUUCGUUUUUCGGUCGUUUCGAGCAAAAAACAAAAAUACCUGUUUUCCUUGUAAAUUGUAAAAAAAAAAUUCUUUUGCGAGCAAACAAACACUCGGAAUCUUAUUUUUUCACCGAAACUUUUUUUUCAGGAUAAUUUUAUGACGAACCAAACAUAUCCUUAAUUGUUACUAUAAGUUAAGCCAUUUGGGUUCAAAGCUUUUAAUAUUUCAAAAAUAUUGUACAUCUUUUUAUUUUAUAUUUGAAAUGACAAAUUCGUUACUAAAGGAUGAAGUUAUUUGAAUUGGGAGGUUAUUAAAAAUUAGUAUAUUAUUAUUAAUAAAUUAUUUAUAAUUUAUAUUAAAUAUGAAAAUAAAAAUACCUCCUAAUCUAUAAUAACCUAAUAUUUAUACUAUCUAUAAGGAAUUUGCACGGAUUUUAUUACUUCACUAAUACCAUUUAUUUAUAACUAUGAAAUGUGUAUUGAAUAAUAAUGACAUGAAUAUUCUCAGUAAAAAAAUAAAAUAUUACAAAUCGUAAACCAAACAAAUCCUUGUAGUAAGGAUUAGCUGUCAUAUUUGAUUAUGUGUCGACGACCGGUAGCUAAAAGAGCUAUUAAUUUCUGCAGAACCCCUAUCUAAAUAGAUAAAAUGAUUCAAAUAAAAAAAAAAAAAUUUAAAGCUGAGAGGUUUCAAUAAUUAAAAAACAAAACCAAAAAUUUGACGGUUCUAAAGGCUCUAUACAUGCGUCCAUGGCCAAGGAGAGAGAGAGAGAGAGAGAGAGAGAGGUUGCUGCGCUACCUGUUUAAUUUGUGUUCACUACGAAGAAGUAAACGGAGUGGCGAAGAAGAGAGCUUGAGGGGUAAAUAAAAGAAGGUGUGUGUGUGUGUGUGUGUGNNNNNNNNNNNNNNNNNNNNNNNNNNNNNNNNNNNNNNNNNNNNNNNNNNNNNNNNNNNNNNNNNNNNNNNNNNNNNNNNNNNNNNNNNNNNNNNNNNNNNNNNNNNNNNNNNNNNNNNNNNNNNNNNNNNNNNNNNNNNNNNNNNNNNNNNNNNNNNNNNNNNNNNNNNNNNNNNNNNNNNNNNNNNNNNNNNNNNNNNNNNNNNNNNNNNNNNNNNNNNNNNNNNNNNNNNNNNNNNNNNNNNNNNNNNNNNNNNNNNNNNNNNNNNNNNNNNNNNNNNNNNNNNNNNNNNNNNNNNNNNNNNNNNNNNNNNNNNNNNNNNNNNNNNNNNNNNNNNNNNNNNNNNNNNNNNNNNNNNNNNNNNNNNNNNNNNNNNNNNNNNNNNNNNNNNNNNNNNNNNNNNNNNNNNNNNNNNNNNNNNNNNNNNNNNNNNNNNNNNNNNNNNNNNNNNNNNNNNNNNNNNNNNNNNNNNNNNNNNNNNNNNNNNNNNNNNNNNNNNNNNNNNNNNNNNNNNNNNNNNNNNNNNNNNNNNNNNNNNNNNNNNNNNNNNNNNNNNNNNNNNNNNNNNNNNNNNNNNNNNNNNNNNNNNNNNNNNNNNNNNNNNNNNNNNNNNNNNNNNNNNNNNNNNNNNNNNNNNNNNNNNNNNNNNNNNNNNNNNNNNNNNNNNNNNNNNNNNNNNNNNNNNNNNNNNNNNNNNNNNNNNNNNNNGGUUUCUAGUAUAGAGCUCCCAAAAUGCAGGUUGACUCGGCGGUCGCACUGUUCAUUUUCCUGUAUGAAUAGAAUUAAUAGUGGUGUGAUGUUGAGGAAGUGGUUGCGAUGGCAUCGAUCCCGUCAUGUGCGAGUGGGAGAUGUUGGCAUUCGGUUAAAUCGAAUCGGGUACGCCCAUAAGCGGGUUCGAUCCGACGGAUAUUAUGUUAUCUAAUUGGAUUAGGAUUAAUCUCGCUUUCAAAUUGGAAAGUUGGUUAGAGAUAAAUCCUAGUCAUAUUAGGAUAACAAUUAAUAACCGAUUUGGCCUUAUCUCUAACGCCAUAAGGAUCUUGGAAUCCCUUAUAAAUAUGCGGGCGAUCCCACAUAACGUAAUACACGGAAAGAACGGAAACAGAGAGAGAAUAAGAAAAUAAUAGCGAGAAACCACAUCCUCCAUUGACCUAUUAUUCUAGAGGGACUUGCACGGUGGAUUUGCGAUCGCGCUCGUUUGUAGUUCGAUCCACCGCGAGUUCGAAGAGUUAGAAGAUUUUCAAGGACGAUCCGAGGACACGUGAAUCAAUCUAAACGAUCCGGGCUCAUCGCGUUCUAGCGCGAAUCGCUUCCGCAAAAAGGUACGAACGAAUAAUUCCGCUGCGUUCUACAAUAUAAAAUGGUGGGAUUGGAUUUGUCUUUGCCUUUAGAAAGAGAUUUAGUAAGUAUCCAAGUAGAAUUGGAUUUAGCUUAGAGUUUUAAUAAUCUAUUAAUUAACUAAUUUUUUUAUUUUUUAAAAAAAAAUUAAAAAAAUGCGAUUAAAAAAAUAAGAAUUUUUUAAAAAACGGUACGGACUUUUCUUAUCUAAGAAAAAGAAAAGUUUGCGAGUCCGGUAUUUUGUUUUGACCCGAUCCCAGUGUUUAUUUAUUAUUAUUAUUAUUAUUAUUAUUAUUAUUAUUAUUGUGUAUUUGCUUGUAAACCUUCCAUUAUUUUGACUUGUAAGUUGUAAGCCCAGACCUGCUUGGACUGGCAUAUUUUUUAGGAUUAAUUACAUAGUAAAUAUAUUAAAUAGCAAAUAUAUUAUUAUAAAAUUUAAUUUUUUAUUUUUAUUCUUACAAGAGUUCAGUAAUAUUUAUAUUCCUAUCUGUUUUGUUAUCAUUAAAGAUCGUUAAAGAUUGUUUACUUUUAAUAGCAGUAGAUAAAAUAACAUUUUUCUCUUUACAAAUAUAUUCGUUCAAAAGCUCAAUUGUUAAAAUUAUGUAGAAGUACUCUCAAAAAAAAAAUUUAUUUAAUAAUAUAAGAAGAGUAAAAUGGUUAAUUUAAGCCAUUCAUUAAUUAAAAAUAAGCAUUUUACUUAUGGUUAAUUAUAUUUUUCUAACGAAUUCUAAUAAUAAAGAUAUAUUUAAAAAUAUUAGAAUUUUUGUAGAGGAGACGAGGAAACGAGGAAAUGGGCAACACUGUCUGUGUGUUGUGCGGAGGAGACGAGGAAACGGCCGACCAUUUAUUCACCCGGUCCAUUUAUUCACCCGGUGUGUAUUCGCUCGACUUAUGAGGAUGAUGACCCUAGAGGGUGAUUUUCCUACAGAUUGGGAUGAUGACGUGCUCUCCCUCUGGGAUAGUACCUUCGCUAGAAUGGGUGGACAAUCGCCGCGGUCUAAAUUUUUGCCCCCAUCAAGAGUGUACAAAUAGUAUUUUUCUUUCGGAAGUCGCUAGCUCCAAAAUCCAAACAUAAUCUUUUUCAUUUUAACUCGAGACCUUGGGACAUGAAAAUUACUAUAUAUUAUUCACAACAUUAUUUAAGUAUCAUUUUAAUUCAGCUUUUCAAUCUUUUAAAAUUGAGAAAUGAUUCGGUACUUUUUUAAAAAAAAAAUAAAAAAGAUCUUAACCGUUGAUUAAUAGAGGGUAAAAAUGUAACUUUAAUACUUAGCAGGUAAAAGGAUUAUUUUAUUCAAGGUUAGUUUGGUAAUUAAAUAAUACAAUAUUUAAAGAAACUUUUAAUUGAGGUCCUAAAUUUAUGCAUUAAUUAGCACUAAUUUAGGAAAUUAAUUGAUUAACCAAAUUUAUGCAAUUAUUAGGCAUUAAUUUAGGAAUCUACUUUAAAUGUUUUAGUGUUUCUCAAAUUAUGCAUUAAUUUAAAUUAUAGAAAUUUUAGAAAUAGUUUUAUUUCUAAAUACGAUGAAUUUAAAUUUUAAAAAUUAAAUACUUAAAAUUUAAAAGUGAAAUUUAAAUUAGAGGAAUUUCAUAUUACUAUUUAAAAACUAAAUUUCUACCAAGAUUUAAAAUACAGUUUAUUCGCACCAGUUUAAAACGUAAUGCAUAAAAAACUUAGAGAGUAAGAUUUCUACAACUAGAUUUCUCUAGAGGAAUUUCAUAUUACUAUUUAAAUUUUAAAUUCAAUGAUUUAAAAACUAGAUUGAACCGAUUGAUUUGACUGAUCAGACCUUGACAUAUUCUAUCAAGAAUCUGAUUUUAACUUAUUGAACCGAAACCGGUAAAGAUAAUAAAUAUUUUAAAUAUAAUUUUAAAUAUAUAAAUUAAAAAGAUUAGAAUUAUUGGUGAGAAAAAAAAUAGUUAGGAAUUUGAAUUCGAAUCUGACUAACAAUCACAAAACUUAUUUCCGAACUCGACGGAUUUCAAAAAUCCAUAUUCAAAUUCAAAACUGACCAAUUUUCCGAAACCUGAAACCAAACCUAAACCAGAAGACUAGAAUUCAAAUAAUUAUUUCUGUUUACCAUAUUUCAAAGUAUUUAUAUGAAACUUAAAUUUUUAAAAUAUAAAUUUGAAUAUAAUAUUAAAUUGAUUAAAUUUUAAAUUUAAAAGUGAAAUUUAAAUUAGAGGAAUUUCAUAUUACUAUUUAAAGUUUAAAUUCAAUGAUUAUAUUGUCAAAACAUUUGAAAUUUUCCUUAUAUGAAAUGCCAAAUUAUGAAAGGAAAGAUAGAGAGAGAAAAAGGAAACAAAGAAAAAAUAAAAAUUUUGAAAAUAAAGUAGAUGUAAAAUGACUAAAUUGCCUAUGUAUUAAAAGACAAAAAUAUUCUUUUUUGAGGUACCUGGUAACCGGUACCUCUCCCAAAGUGACCUGCUAUUGCAGGUCACAAUUUUAAAAAAACUAAAUCUGAGCCGUUGAAUACACGUGAAUGAACGGUAACAAAAAAAAAAAAAGUAUAGAAGCAUUACUCUUUAAAAUUUGGAUUAUACUAUCCAACCUUUAGAUUUGUUUAACUUGAACCAGUCAACCACACUUUAACUUCAAAAUGUGAAUGGUUGUUUAUAUUUACAGUUUUAAUUAGCAUCUUUUAAGCAAUUCUCGUAACUAUAAAUUCCAUAAACUAAGUUAUUAGCUUAAAUUUUAAAAUAAAAAAUAUUGUUGGCUGACUCAAAUCAAACAAAUUAAACGGUUGGAUAGUAAAUUCAAAAUUUUGAAAUAUUGGACAGUCGAUUCAAAAUGAUUUAUAAUUCAGAUAUAUUCUAUACGUUUUUACCUAUUAUUUUUUGUAAAUUUCAUGUAUUAUUUUUAAACUGCUUGUAGCCAUGCAUGAGCAAAUCAAAAUUUCAUACACCCGACGAAAUCCCAGCCAUGAUUUGUAGCUGGUAGGAAAGCGGCCAAAUCCGCCCCUCAAUUCCAUCCUCCAGUAUUUUUUGAAAGAAAAGCAGAAUAAUGUCUGCUUCAUUUAUUAUUUCUAAAAAACAAACUUAGCUGGCUUUGAAUUUGAAAUCUCGGGUACCAAGCAUCAAGCACUUUAUCUAGUUCAUCUUUUGAACUAGGAACGGUUGGUCAUCUUCCAGUACUUGACCCGACAGUGGUAAAGAAGAACUCCAAUAAAUAUGUAAAUCAAAGUGUAGCUUCUCCAAACCGACCAUUCCUAGAGCAAGUGGCAAAGGAUUUGGUGGUUGGUACCCGAGGUUCCAAAUUCGAAUCCUAAUUGAUUCACAUUUACAGCUAAGUUUAUUUCACCUAUCUCUUACAAAAAAAAAUGUAGCUCCUCCACAUUACAAAAAUAUAAGAGAAAUAAUACAUGGACAUCCCAAAGAACAGUGCAGACGUAAGCAUUUCUCAUUCUUAAACUCACAAAACUUUUUGAAUUUUUAAUAUUACAAAAAAAAAACUCAAAAUAUAAUGUGAAUACAGGUACACAGUAUAAACACAGUUACUGUUGAAAGGUUGCGGUUAGUACCCAAAAGUCUAGAAUCAUCUUCUAUGGUAUUUGUUGAAGGUCCUUAAUUUCUUUGGAAUUCUUGUCUUCAUUUCUAUUAAUGUUUAAUUUGAAAAUAUGAUUGACACGUGAUUUUUUCUAAAAAUAUUUUCCAUGAUACAAAACUUGUCUUUUUCGUACGUAGAAGGAUUGUUACUACUAUCUAAUAAUGGUUGGUCACAGGUGCAUAAUCCAAGUCAAACUGCUGAUACGGGUCAAUGCUUCCUCCUAUUUGUAUGUACAUAAAUAAAUUAUAGAUGAUUUUUCAUGAUGCAACCUUGCAGACGAGAGCAAAUCAACCACAAAUGGUGUGUUCGUCACAUCAGAGUGGUGCUUCUGUUUGAAACUAGAGUUCCGCCUCAAAUGAAAGAUGUCCAACAAAAAGAAAUUUUGAAACUUUAUUUUAACAGUUCAUUGUUUCUUAAAAAUACCUAAAUCGUGAUCUGAAUGGCCAAAGAGCACGCAAACUUUUUCAUAAUUUGCGUGCAGCAACCACCAGUUAAUUUAUGAGAUUUAAGUAAAUAAGGCGAGAAUGAAAUUGUUUAAUUAGCGGCCGUUUCAUUAUAUGUAAUUACAAAUACAGUGUAGUUAAAGAUGCAUAUAAUUAAAAAUACAGCAAUUGCAACUACAUGCAUUCUGUUUGGUAGGAUGUAGUAAAAAGUGCUGAAACUAUAAAUAAUUUGUUUGGUUGCAUGCAGUUGAAAAAAUUAAUUUUAAAAAUUUUAUUAUUUUAUAAUAUAAUGGUGAGAUUAUCUCAAAUGCAAAAAAGGAAAAAUAUUUUUUAUUUAAAAAAUAAUUAAGGAGGUAAGCAUAUAUUUUGUUUAGAGUUAUUCUCUCCAACUGCUGCAGCUGGAAUUGCGGCCAAUUUGAGCGUAUUUUAAACUAUUGCAAUUUGAAAUCCUCCUGCAGUUCCUACUAUAGCAGUUAGAAUUAAAUAUAUCAAAUCAAAUACUAAAUUUAUAUUUACAUUCAGUUAUAAUUGCAGUACAGUUAUAACUGCUUCUUACACCCUAAAUUCUGGAAUUCAUAAAUUUUUUUGAGUUUUUUGUUAUUAGAAGAUGAGAAUAUACAGAACUUAUAUGGACUAUAGAACAUUUUGAGUUCCUUAUCCAACCUUCCAAUUUUUUUAAUUUGAAUAGUUGACAACACCUUGACUUUAAAUUUUUUUUUCCUUCUUUGUAAUAAUUGCAGUUUUAUGUUUUCAUACUGAAUUUCUCACAAACAAACCCACAAAUACAUAAGAGCAAGAGGAAAUUAAAUACAUUCACAACACAGAGGUAAAAUAAAAGCUAUUUAGCACAACAUUUUAAACACCAUGAAGAGAACCAAACGAAGUUUAAAAAGGACCAAAUCCGAAUCCGAUAUAAAUCCAGAUAUUCUUUAGAGUAAUACUUUUAUGAGAUUUUAAUCACAUAAUUUAUCGAUGAUGAGGAGUUCUUGGUGACCCAAUAUUUUCGAGAGAAACUAUUCGAUUCUAGACAACAAAUAUACAUAGAUUCAGUUCCUGUUGGGAACAAUAAAUAUACAUGGAUCCAGGUUCAAGUUAGGAAUUUGUAUUUGUAUUUUCGACGGGUAUAGCUGAAAAAAGAUGGCUAAUUUUGAGCGGUUCAUGAACAACUGCAUUUACAGCACUCACCAUUUCCUUUGGAGAUGUAAAUCCAUCAGUGUUCAUGUAAAAUAGGUGAAGUAUUCUGCACAUCUUCCAAAAUAAGUCCUUGCAACUUCGAGGAAUUACAGUUCCCUCCUUCAGCACUAGCCUUAGCAAUUCUCUCCGAGAAGUUUCGACGGAUCUCUUUAUCUCCCUUUUAGCCUCUUCUAUAGAGGCGGAAGAGCCGCCAUGAAGAAGGCGGAGCGAGAUGCUGUUCAACUUUCCUUCUUUACCUUCUCUCUGCACCAAUUUAAAGUAAUUAGUGUCCAAAUGAUAAUAAUCAACAACAACAAGGAGCUUGAAGAGAAUGUGGGGGAACAAAAUUAAGGCUUUAUAAGGCAGGACCAAUAAAGUGGAAAAAUUCGUAAGUAAACUAUUAGGACGGUAACUCUCUUCCUCAAGUUGACUAAAUUCACUUAUUGCUUGUAUUACCUCGUAACCUUGCAGGUCGUUUAGAAGACGGCCGCAUGUGCUCACAAGUCUGAACAUUUCAUGGCAUUCUGGAUCUGCAACGGCCUCUUCCGAAAGCUUUGGACCAACAAAGUAGAGAGCCGGGAGAAUGAUGGGGCCCAAAGCAAAGGAAACAAAUCCAUUUUCCAUGUACUGCUCUAUCGUGGGUACCGUUUUGUUCCUCAGCCACUCUGCCUCGUUCAUCAUGGACCUCAUCAAGCUAAGCCACUGUCGUUUGCAUUGCUAUGUGUCAGAGUUUAAAUUGAAUGGUGCAUGUGCAAACUCGUAUUUUGCAGGAAUAUAUAGGCGAUUUUGCAGGGGCAUAUAUGUAAAUAUCUGAAUUCAGUAAGCUGUAAGAUCUCACUAUUUCAACUAAGUGGCCGGUAACACUACGAUUUUGUACUGCUGAUGCCUUAGCUCCAAGCUCAUUGAUUGUGCUGUAAAUAGCGGAAAAUACAAUCUCUACGUGCUCAGAGCAGAACUCUUUUUUGUGAUUUCCAUCCCAUCUGUCGCAAGUACAAAGGUGUGCUUAAAGAAAAUAAUGUGUAAAUUAAUCUCAGAAAAAUUGCGGAUCACAAAUAUGAGCAAGAAAAAUCGUACUUCUCAACUAAACUGAUGAGGUUUUUUAAUUCUUCUUGUGAUCCACCUAUGUCGAAGAAGUCAUCAACCACAGUGGUGAGCACACCAUUUUUAGCCCAUGAAAUGCGAGCAUCGGUUAAUUCGGGAGAAUAUAGAGUGGCAGCAGCAGAGAGGUAACAGUAUGUUAGCUUAUCCCGAGCAAAUCCUAGCUGAUCCAACCUGUUUUCUCUGACCCAGCUGUUAAGAUCACAAAUUUAGAUUAGGAAAGCACAUUGCUGGCGUUAGAUGUAAUAAAAAUAAGGAACUUGCUUUUGCAUGUGCACUCAACAAAAGCAUAUUUGUGAAGGAAAGUGAGUGGAAGGGCAUAUAGACACAUAUUGGAUAUUCAAUAGACAACGGCAACAAUUUCAACUUAAGAAGGGUCUGCGAGCAAACGUGUAUAUUUUGAGAGAUAUCUAUGCAACAAAAUAACCCUAAAAGGAGAAUCCAUAAGAUGGACAGACCUCUGAAGAUGCUGAAGUUCUUUCCGGUAUAUAGACUGACAACUACUGAAAUCUUCAACUGCCAAUUUAAGAAGAUCAUCAGAAGUGCAGAAAGACCUGAUUCAGUUCAGAAGCAGAAAUUACUGGCAGAAAUCCAAAAAUCAGAAAAAAAACGUUUUUAUCCUAUUUAUGAUUAAAUCCUUACUUAUAUGAUGUUUUGAGAAUCUGAUAAUUGGCAACAUCAAAGUGCUCAAUGUUUCUCUUGUGUUCUAAGCGUUCCAAAUUGGCGUAAAAGGGAAAUUUGAGAACAUAAUCUGCCUGAAAAUAUAAAAUAGAAUUAGUUUCAACUCUCAAUCAGACAACUAGAAUUCUUUUUCCCCAAAAAACAUAUUGAGACUAUCAAAUACCUCUUGGGAGAUAACUGGGGAAGAAUGUUUUGAAUUAGAAGAUAUUUCCUCCUUUAGUAAGCUACUGGACCAGGACCCUAAUUUAUCUAAGACUUGUUCACAGUCCGAGAUUUUAAUCUGCGAUGCCUUGUGAAAUUCUAGAACAGUUUUCAUAUCUUUCAGAUGUCCUUGCAGGGAAUUAUGGAAAUUGUGUGCUUCAGCAAAGCGAGAUAACCCAUCUGCACCAUCACCAGCAAUAGAUUAAAAACCCAUUGGCAUAACUAGAUACAUAACUAACCAAGAUUCGGAAAGUUAGUUCCUUCUGGGCCCAAACUACCUGAAGAAACAUCAAAUCCGUUCAUACGCAAAAGACGAAAUGCCAUAGCACAUGUGGCCAUAUCCGAACUAAGUUCCUCAUCGUUCUCCAACCAGCAUCUGCAUAAUAGCUGAUGGCAGUUUGUAAAAUCUUGAGAUAUUGCACAUAUCUCAACUUAAAAGCUAUUUUUGUAAGGAACUGCACUCUAAAUGGGUUGUAUAAAAAUUAAGAUUAUAAGUGGGGUACAUCUGUGUAAACAGAUGAUUUUGCAGAAAUACAUCUCUAUAUCUACAUGGUUGUAAUUCAUAUUUAGAAGCUAUUUCUAGCUCAAACCUGUAUAUUCUGUCCAAGAUGGUCCUGAUCUCAAAAGUAAACUGCCGAGAAAUUCCCAACUUUUCAAGAGUGUCAACCAUGCAAAGUUGCGUAUGUAUCUCAAACGGAUAAACAGUAGGAACUGUGGAAAGGCAAAUGAUAUUAGAAAUUCCAUAGCAUUUCCACAUUUGUGACAGACAAAUUUAUCAAUUAGCGAGUGAAGUCGAAUCCACCUGAGCUGCCAAACCGCCGUAAAACAGCAUGCAAGUAGUCAAGAGCUUUGACAUCAUAAAGAUGGGUCAAUGCAACAGCUGUUGUUGAAGGAGAAUUGAACAACGAUCCGUUCUUCCCCUGAUAUUUCAUAACCUCAUUCCAAUUUUGUACAUUUCUUAAUCCUUCGGAUACAUAUGCCAUGUACGCUUUUCUACCCUCAGAAAUGUUUGCAGAAUCUCUAAUACAUAAAUAUAUAAAUUACAACAUAAAUGCAACUUACAAGGAAAUCUGC
rnacentral:lncRNA from 1 species